AAUAGAGGAGAUCAUUUAAAAUGAGUUAAUAUUAGACAUAGUUAUGUUAAGAAAUAUACAUUAUUUGGUUAUUAUUUAUUAUCUAAAAUGUAUUGAUAUAAGAUAUUAUUUUUAAAAUAGGUUUGAAUAUUAAAAAUAUUAUUAAAAUUAUUUUUCUUCAUUUCAUUGUAUAUAUGUAAUUCUUCUAUAACUAAAUUAAUGUAAAUGUUAUUUUGGGUAUUUAAUAUCUCUAAUUCUGU